GUUAUUGAUAAUAUUUCACCACUUUCCUUAAUCAUGAUGGAUAACAACUACCCAGAAACAUUUACACAUCUCUAAGAAAGAAUAAGACGUUGGGGGAGGUGGUACUGGAGCAAUGGUCUUCGCAACCCGUCUGGGGUCCUUUGGUGCCAUAGUUGGUCCUCCCUUCAUCCUAACUCGAUCUGCCAAACGGUUCUCCACUCCAGAUUCUAAAAGUCCUUCAACAUAAGUGUACGACUUCUCUUCCUUGGCGUCCAGAGCAGCCAUAAGGAUCCUGGCAUGGUAGACAAGUGGCACAUAUGAGUAUCGCUUGGCACAAUACAUCACAAACAAGCAGAUGAAAAUUUUCAAAAUAUGAAGUACUCCUGUGGAGUGAAAAAAAAUGUGUGCAAAUUGGAAACCAUGACUUCUGGUCAAAAUCUCUUACAAUAGAUGUACAUAAAACAGAAUUUCAUAGAAAAGUGUCGCGUGCCUAGGACAAAAAUCUUAUUUAUACUAACAUUGACCUUGACCCUUGAACCUGAAAAGCAAUCCCAAGCAGGCACUUUUGGUGAGGAAUCACUGUUAGGAGUUUGAAGUUGAUCAGCAUCUAGUUAUCGUGAAAAAAUCUCAGUACAGACGCCGACAUCACCAUACCUAUGUCGCCUUUUGCAGCCCACACAAAAAUAUAAAUUGUAGAUCUGCUUAAAGCAGCACAAAUAUCUGUGCUGCUGUGACAUUGAUAGAGGGCCAACGUCCACCAUUUGAACAAACUUUGCGAAGCUUCAUUACAAUAUGCUACAGUAAAAUAU